rnacentral:tRNA from 1 species
GGGGAUUUAGCUCAGUGGCAUAAGCACCUGCCUUGUGAGCAGGCGGUUGUGAGUUCGAUCCCCA